UAAAUCAGCUAUGGUUUAUUGGAUCGUACCCGUUAAAUGGAUAACUGUAAUAACUCUAGAGCUAAUACAUGCCUCGAAGCCCUGACCCUGCUGCCUACUUGUCGGCCUGUCGGGCGGAUGGGUAGGUAGGUGGGGAAUGGGUGCACUUAUUAGAUCAGAAGCCAACCGACUGUGUGUGCGUGCUUGCAUGUGCACCAGUUGAGGCACCUCUGGUGACUCUGGAUAAUUGUUACACAUCGCAGUCGGCCUUGAGUCGGCGACGGGUCCUUCAAAUGUCUGCCCUAUCAACUUUCGAUGGUAGGUGACCUGCCUACCAUGGUGAUAACGGGUAACGGGGAAUCAGGGUUCGAUUCCGGAGAGGGAGCCUGAGAAACCGCUACCACUUCCAAGGGAGGCAGCAGGCGCGCAAAUUACCCACUCCCGGCACGGGGAGGUGGUGACGAAAAAUACCGAUGCGGGACUCCUUCAAGAGGCUCCGUAAUAGGAAUGAGUGGACUCUAAAUCCUUUCACGAGGAUCAAUUGGAGGGCAAGUCUGGUGCCAGCAGCCGCGGUAACUCCAGUUCCAUAGCGUAUAUUAAAGUUGCUGCAGUUAAAAAGCUCGUAGUUGGAUCUCGGUGGUAUUGUUGCCUGUUGGUAUUUGAGCGGUAGUGCGCGACCGACAGUGCUCUAUUGUUCUGCUCGCCUCGACUUCUGUCUGCCUACUCGUCAGUUGGCUCUGCAUUGGUGCUAUUGUGGCGCGAUUGCAUGUGCCGGAUGCUGGAGGCGGGAGGUCGGCGAUGUUGGAGAUGGUGUGGCUGCGUCAUAGAAGAGUGCUACCGAAUCAAGCCGACGAGGUGGCGAUACAACCUUUAAGCCAUGUCUGUGGUGUAACAGCCGCAGGUGCGGGCGGGUGUUGGAUUGUGGUUAGUGGCCGUGCUGCUUGCUAAUUCCUAGCCCUUAGCACAGCGCAUUGCAGUGCAUGGGUAGGUUGGUGAGUUGGCUGGUCUGUUGACCGUGCGGUCGGCUCGUCUGCAUGCCUGAGGAUGCCCUUCAGUGGGUGUCCAAUUGGGCGGAUGGCACGUUUACUUUGAACAAAUUUGAGUGCUCAAAUCAGGCCGAUGUUGCCUGAAAAGUUUUGCAUGGAAUAAUGGAAUAGGACUUCGGUUCUAUUUCGUUGGUUUUCGGAUCCGAAGUAAUGAUCAAAAGAGACAGGCGGGGACGUUUGUAUGGCUGCGCUAGAGGUGAAAUUCAUGGACCGUAGCCAGACAGACUAAAGCGAAAGCAUUCGUCAAGCAUGUUUUCAUUGACCAUGAGCGAAAGUCAGAGGCUCGAAAACGAUCAGAUACCGUCCUAGUUCUGACCAUAAACGAUGCCAACUGACGAUCCGUGGUGGUAGUGCCAAAUACCUUCCCCACGGGCAGUCCCCGGAAACCUUUAAGUCUAUGGGUUCCGGGGGAAGUAUGGUUGAAAGCUGAAACUUAAAGGAAUUGACGGAAGGGCACCACCAGGAGUGGAGCCUGCGGCUUAAUUUGACUCAACACGGGAAAACUCACCCGGGCCGGACACUAUGAGGAUUGACAGAUUGAGAGCUCUUUCUUGAUUUGGUGGUUGGUGGUGCAUGGCCGUUCUUAGUUGGUGGAGCGAUUUGUCUGGUUAAUUCCGAUAACGAACGAGACUCCAGCCUGCUAAUUAGUGCGUUUGUCCACUGCAUUUGCGUGGGUGAUGUGGGACGAGGCUGCUGCCACACGUCUGUGCUUGGUCAUCGCUCUGCUGAUUCGCCUUCGUCUUCUCCUACUGUUCUACGUGGUGGCUGCUCUUCGUGAUGUCUUGUCUUGUCUGCACUUGCUGCUGAUGCAGGGUCGUGGUAGUCUGCACAGUUGGCGGUGUAGAGAAGGAGAUUGGAGGAGUGGUGGCUGCUAGGGCGGGUAG
rnacentral:rRNA from 1 species